UGUCUCCAGCAGAGUUUUUGAAACUAUCCCUGGGUGCUUUUGCAUUAUUAUAUAUAUCAUUCACAGUUUUCUCUUGUUUUCGACUAAUGUUUUUGCUCCUUUUAUCCUCAGGUUCCUCUUUGUAUUUAUCAUUCCAGCAGCUAAGGAUAUAUUAUGUGGACCUUUAUCCACAUAUUGAGGCCACAUGGAGAUCGGAUGCUAAAUUGGCUGCUAUCAUUGAAGAACUGAAACAGAAUCACUAAGUCUAAAUUUACUUGGCUUGGUAAUCAACUUCUUAGAAAAGAAAGGUUGGUAAUUGGGAAUGAUGAAGGCAUGAGAAGACAAAUUAUUAAGGCUUUCCACUGUUCAAGUAAAGGAGGAUAUUCUGGGGUUCUAGCUACUUACAAGAGGUUGUACUCACUUUUUUAUUGGACUAAGAUGGAGAAAUCACCAGAGAGUGUGAUGUUUGUCGGAGGAAUAGAUACGAUCACAGUGUAUGUAUGAGGGUUAGCCCUUACCUAUACACGAGGGAGCUUGGUCACAGGUGAGUCAAGACUUAAUUGAAGAAAUGCCAUUGUCUUAUGGGAUAUUGAUAAGGCUCAUUUCUUGCAUUGACUUUUGGGUGUUUUCACAUACUUUUGGGGAGAUAAUGCAUGAAAUUUGAGUUUAAGUUGCAGUUGCUACUGGAUCAGUUAAAUGGUGCAACUUGACCAAGCAGAAUGAAAACGAGGCAAAUUGAAUUGAAAAUGCAGAAAAGCUGAAGAAUCCAAACUCACUAACUGAGAGAUGUGCAGCUCCAGUCACUGUUGGCUGAGCCAACAGAUUAUACAAGCUAUUUCUCCUUUUAGCUUCCAUGAUCACUCUUGAAUCCUUUGUGACUGUUAACAUUCCAUCACCUGAAUCAAAUUUAUAUCCCUUUGAUUCCAGCAUUCCAAUGGAUAUCAGAUUUCUUUUGAUCUUGGGUAUAAACUUGACUUCUGCCGGUAUCUUGAUGCUUCAUUUCUUAUUUUCAUGUGUAUUUCUCCAAUCCUUUUGACCUCACAAGUCUGAUCAUUGCCCAGGGAUAAGGCUCAUUUCAUGCAUUGCUGUUGAGUGAUUUUACAUGCUUUUGGGGGAGAUAAUGCACAAAUCGUGAGUUUAAGUGUGCAGGAUGGCUGUUGGAUCAGUUAGACAGUGCAAACUAGCCAAGCAGAUGCAGAUGAAGCAAAAUGGAGUGAAAAUGCAGAAAAGUCGUUCAACUGAUUAAGAGGAGUUAUAAUAAGGAGCGGGCAUAGCAAGUACUGGGGGAUAAAAGAGAGAAUUCGAAAAUACCCUUUGCUGUAAGGGUACAAAUGUCAAAUCAUGGAGGAUAUACCCUAGGGAUUGGAGUCGUGAUAUAUAAAGGAAUCAACAUUGAAGGUAAAUGGGGGACAUAGCUGAAAGUUUCUUCAUUUGAAAACCUUUUCCUCACUCCACACUCCAGAUAUGCUCUCUGCCUCCUAGCUCGGAGGGGGGAGCAACGUAAUUCCUGCUGCUUUAACGUCUCAGUUGUUGUACAACCCCUCUUCGGAGUGAAGAUACAAUCGUUUAUUUCUGUUUUGCAUCACUGUAGGUUUAUUUCUCAAGUGUUUUAGUGUUUUACACAUCCUAGUUUGAGAAACUCUUCCGUAUUUGCAGUUUUAGUUAGGAACUCGUUGUUUCGAAGUUCGAUUUUGUCCUAUUUCAAGAUUAUGGAAGUUUUUGUUGGAUUUUGUGAUGUCUAGUUUUAUUUCUGUUUUUGUUGGGUGCUUGGCGUUAUAGUUAGUUGUUUGAUUUUGUAAAUCCACUCUAUCAGCGUUUGAUUUAGUAGAUCUAGUUCACUCUGUGUUGGAAUGCAUGAUUGAGGCUCAUUUAUUGUUUCA